GUCGGAUCCUUCUAAGGUAGAUGGUUUAAGGGAAAAUCAAGCCAGAGGAGCGGGCCUACUGUGGGGUCCUGAUUCUACUGAAGCAUUCUUAAAGCUGUCCAAUUUAAAGUUGAUCAUUAGGUCACAUGAAGGCCCAGAUUCAAGGGACGGUAAGAUUGAUUUUGAUGAUAUGAUAAUGGGUUAUAGCACAGAUCACGACAUAGAAUCAGGGAAAUUAUAUACUCUAUUUAGCGCUCCAGAUUUCCCUCAGUUUGGUCAGAAGAGUUAUAAUAAUGAGGGAGCAUAUGCUACUUUGAAG
rnacentral:misc_RNA from 1 species